UAGCAUAUCAAUAAGCGGAGGAAAAGAAACUAACAAGGAUUCCCCUAGUAACUGCGAGUGAAGCGGGAAAAGCUCAAAUUUAAAAUCUGGCGGCCUUUGGUCGUUCGAGUUGUAAUUUAGAGAAGCGUCUUCCGCGCUGGACCGUGCACAAGUCUCCUGGAAUGGAGUGUCAUAGAGGGUGAGAAUCCCGUCUUUGGCACGGAUGCACCAGGGCUUUCGUGAUGCGCUCUCGAAGAGUCGAGUUGUUUGGGAAUGCAGCUCAAAAUGGGUGGUGAACUCCAUCUAAAGCUAAAUAUUGGCGAGAGACCGAUAGCGAACAAGUACCGUGAGGGAAAGAUGAAAAGCACUUUGGAAAGAGAGUGAAACAGUACGUGAAAUUGUUGAAAGGGAAACGCUUGAAGUCAGUCGCGUCGACCGAGACUCAGCCUCGCCUUGGCUUGGUGUACUUCUCGGCCGACGGGUCAGCGUCAAUUUUGGCCUUCGGAUAAUGGCAGGGGAAAGGUAGCACCUUUACGGGUGUGUUAUAGUCUCUUGUCGCAUGCGAGGGUCAGGAUUGAGGAACUCAGCACGCACCUUUUGGUGUCGGGGCCUUGGCCCACGCCACGUGCUUAGGAUGCUGGCGUAAUGGCUUUAAACGACCCGUCUUGAAACACGGACCAAGGAGUCUAACAUGCCCGCGAGUGUUCGGGUGGAAAACCCGUGCGCGUAAUGAAAGUGAAAGUUGGGACCCCUGUCGUGGGGGGCACCGACGCCCGGACCAGACCUUCUGUGACGGAUCUGCGGUAGAGCGUGCAUGUUGGGACCCGAAAGAUGGUGAACUAUGCCUGAAUAGGGUGAAGCCAGAGGAAACUCUGGUGGAGGCUCGUAGCGAUUCUGACGUGCAAAUCGAUCGUCAAAUUUGGGUAUAGGGGCGAAAGACUAAUCGAACCAUCUAGUAGCUGGUUCCUG
rnacentral:rRNA from 1 species